UAUUAGAAGCUAAAAAAGUCAAAAAACAAAAUACUCUGUCCAAAAACAAAUUACAAAAAUGAAACAACCAAAAAAAAGGAAAAAGGAGUUGGUCAUCUUCAAGCUUGAGCUUCCAUGGAGGAUGAAGACGAAGUGAUGCCUUGGAGAAGCUGCGUUCGGUUCGUUUCCAUCCCACUGAAUCCACACAGCUCGAACAACUUAGAUUGAGUCAGAAACCCUAACUAAUACCACUGCAUAGGCUAGGUUGAGCCCCAAAGAGACUGAUACCACUGCAUAAGGAAGCCACAUAUGGGUUCCAUCUCCGCAUAAACAGUAUAUUGCAAUUACAUCCACUUAUGCAAGACCUUAACAGGAGAAUCAACUGUUGAAGCUAUAAUUGCCUGUGAUCACUUCUAUUACUAUCCUUCUCAACAUCAAUCAGUUGCUGCUGUACAUCAUCUUGCAAGUUACUUUCUUCAUUGGUAUUCUCCAAGUCUGUUAAAUAUUGUUCUUGUUGCUGCUGUUGCACCUUCUCAGUAUUCAUUUUUUCAGUGUUAUGCACUAAAUUAUCAUAGCACAAGUCACUAUUUGUCUUGUUGGACUCAUCAA